rnacentral:rRNA from 1 species
UACAGAGGGUGCGAGCGUUAAUCGGAAUUACUGGGCGUAAAGGGCGCGUAGGUGGUUGUGUAAGUGAGAUGUGAAAUCCCUGGGCUUAACCUAGGAACUGCAUCUCAUACUGUAUAGCUAGAGUAUUGUAGAGGGUAGUGGAAUUUCCGGUGUAGCGGUGAAAUGCGUAGAGAUCGGAAGGAACACCAGUGGCGAAGGCGGCUACCUGGACAAAUACUGACACUGAUGCGCGAGAGCGUGGGGAGCAAACAGG